UACGUAGGGUCCGAGCGUUGUCCGGAAUUAUUGGGCGUAAAGAGCUCGUAGGCGGUCUGUCGCGUCGGCUGUGAAAUCCCGAGGCUCAACCUCGGGUCUGCAGUCGAUACGGGCAAACUAGAGUAUUGCAGGGGAGACUGGAAUUCCUGGUGUAGCGGUGAAAUGCGCAGAUAUCAGGAGGAACACCGGUGGCGAAGGCGGGUCUCUGGGCAAUAACUGACGCUGAGGAGCGAAAGCGUGGGGAGCGAACAGG
rnacentral:rRNA from 1 species